UACGUAGGGUGCGAGCGUUGUCCGGAAUUACUGGGCGUAAAGAGCUCGUAGGUGGUUUGUCGCGUCGUUCGUGAAAACCGGGGGCUUAACCCUCGGCGUGCGGGCGAUACGGGCAGACUUGAGUACUGCAGGGGAGACUGGAAUUCCUGGUGUAGCGGUGAAAUGCGCAGAUAUCAGGAGGAACACCGGUGGCGAAGGCGGGUCUCUGGGCCGAUACUGACGCUGAGGAGCGAAAGCGUGGGGAGCGAACAGG
rnacentral:rRNA from 1 species